AUUGAACGCUGGCGACAUGCCUAACACAUGCAAGUCGAGCGAGCGGCGGACGGGUGAGUAAUGUCUGGGAAACCGCCCGAUGGAGGGGGAUAACUAUUGGAAACGGUAGCUAAUACCGCAUACCAUCAGAUGUGCCCAGAUGGGAUUUGCUAGUAGGUGGGGUAACGGCUCACCUAGGCGACGAUCCCUAGCUGGUUUGAGAGGAUGACCAGCCACACUGGAACUGAGACACGGCCCAGACUCCUACGGGAGGCAGCAGUGGGGAAUAUUGGACAAUGGGGGAAAGCCUGAUGCAGCCAUGCCGCGUGUGUGAUGAAGGCCUUCGGGUUGUAAAGCACUUUCGGCGGGGAGGCGUUACCCGCAGAAGAAGCACCGGCUAACUCCGUGCCAGCAGCCGCGGUAAUUC
rnacentral:rRNA from 1 species